rnacentral:rRNA from 1 species
UACGUAGGUGGCAAGCGUUGUCCGGAUUUACUGGGCGUAAAGAGCGCGCAGGCGGUCAGAUAAGUCGAAUGUGAAAGCCCCCGGCUCAACUGGGGAGGGUCAUUCGAUACUGUUCGACUCGAAGGCAGGAGAGGGAAGCGGAAUUCCCGGUGUAGUGGUGAAAUGCGUAGAUAUCGGGAGGAACACCAGUGGCGAAGGCGGCUUCCUGGCCUGUUCUUGACGCUGAGGCGCGAAAGCGUGGGGAGCAAACAGGG